AGCUCCAAUAGCGUAUAUUAAAGUUGUUGCAGUUAAAAAGCUCGUAGUUGGAUCUCGGGUCCAGGCCUGCGGUGCAGCUUAGGCUGCCUACUGCUCGUCCUGACCUACCUACCGGUUUUCCCUUGGUGCUCUUGAGUGAGUGUCUUGGGUGGCCGGAACGUUUACUUUGAAAAAAUUAGAGUGCUCAAAGCAGGCUCUCGCCUGAAUAUUAGUGCAUGGAAUAAUUGAAUAGGACCUCGGUUCUAUUUUGUUGGUUUUCGGAACUCGAGGUAAUGAUUAAGAGGGACAGACGGGGGCAUUCGUAUUACGGUGUUAGAGGUGAAAUUCUUGGAUCGCCGUAAGACGAACUACUGCGAAAGCAUCUGCCAAGCAUGUUUUCA
rnacentral:rRNA from 1 species